CUGGGCUGCGAAGUCCGACUCUGCCACCUCCUCGUGGUGCAGCCUGGUAACAUCAUCUAGUGAUGAUGGCCAAGAGCAGAGCGGUUUGUUAUGAGUGUCUGAUUCUUAGUGAACUCAGCAUUCAUUGGCCUUCAGGCCUUGAUCUUUGCUCCCUGUGAGCAAUCACCCUGCCACUGCUCCCUGCGAGCAAUCGUCCUGCUGCUGCUCGCUACGAGCAAUCGCCCUGCCGCUGCUCCCUGUGAGCAAUCGCCCUGCCUCUGCCCUGCCUCCGCCCUGCCUCUGCUCUCUGUGAGAGCAAUCACCCUGCCGCUGCUCACUACGAGCAAUCGUCCUGCUGCUGCUCCCUGCGAGCAAUCACCCUGCCGCUGCUCCCUGCGAGCAAUCGUCCUGCUGCUGCUCCCUGCGAGCAAUCGCCCUGCCGCUGCUCCCUGUGAGCAAUCGCCCUGCCUCUGCCCUGCCUCCGCCCUCCCUCUGCUCUCUGUGAGAGCAAUCACCCUGCUGCUGCUCACUACGAGCAAUCGCCCUGCUGCUGCUCCCUGCGAGCAAUCGCCCUGCCGCUGCUCCCUGCGAGCAAUCGUCCUGCUGCUGCUCGCUACGAGCAAUCGCCCUGCCGCUGCUCCCUGUGAGCAAUCGCCCUGCCUCCGCCCUGCCUCCGCCCUGCCUCUGCUCUCUGUGAGAGCAAUCACCCUGCCGCUGCUCACUACGAGCAAUCGCCCUGCCGCUGCUCCCUGCGAGCAAUCACCCUGCCGCUGCUCACUGCGAGCAAUCGCCCUGCCGUAGCACUUGUGUGCUUUGAUUAUCUCUACCAUGAAUGGCCAUACGUCGGGCCAGAAGUGGAUGAACAGUCUAUAUAGACUGAGUCUUCUCAAGAGUUGCUAUCUGGAUCCUGUGUCUAUCAUUACUGUGUAUAUAGAGAUUUCUCCAGCGUAGCACGUCCCCAUGCCCUUCGGGAGGCUUUUGAAGUGCAGGCAUUGCCUGUGUCUUCUCUGGGACGCUAAACCAAUACAUACAUACAU
rnacentral:sRNA from 1 species